GCAUGCGAUUAAUCGUGCAGCCCUAGUAUGAAUGCAUAUUCAAAUGAGUGAAUCCACCUGUGAUUUCAUUGACUAAUUCCCCCUUCCUGUGUGUAUCUCACCGUGUGCCUCUCUCUGGUCUGUCUUUUAGCUUUCUCCACUCCAUUUUUACAUAUUCAUUGCUCAUUUUCUCUGUCCACUCCCCUGCUCCAUCGUUUCUAAGCCACGGAUCAUUCCAACAGCAGGAUUCAAGGAGUUGACUUAGUCUGAACAGCUUAUAUGCACAGACAGAUUGGAGCUUCAUAUGGGAAUGAGAUGUUUUGCUAUACAAUUUAGUUUUUUAUUCUGCACUGGUUCAUCUGAUGGCAUUACUGUUCUGCUUGAGAUAUUUUUCGUCAGCCAUUUUGGGCAUGCACACACUGAUGAGUAAUCAGCAGUAUUAUGAAGCACUGGCCAGCAGUACUAUUGUCAACAAACAGGGCUUGAACAGCGUAAUCCAGUGUACUCGGUAUAAGCCAGUGCCAGACGAACAGCCCAAUGACACAGAUGUAGAGGAAACACUACAGAGAAUCAAGAGAAAUGAUCCAGACCUUGUUGAGGUCAACCUAAACAAC